GCACAGUACAACAACAUUGCGAUACAAGACGGUCGAAGGUUUUCAUUGGAUACCUGCCUGAAGAAUGUCCCGAUCAACUGUGAUUUCCGGCACCGUGAGGGCUGUCUCUAAGGUCCGGGACGGCAUGCUGUGCCAACUGCAGAAUGGACUGCGCCACUCGCAUGCGGUCAGAAGCCUGGACCUGGACUUCUGCGACCACCGUGCGGCCUUCAAGCACAAGAACCUGUCGGAGCUCUUCCGUGCUCUGGUCAUCCUCCGAGCCUGUGGCUCCAACUUCCUCGUCGACAACUGUCUGAAGUUGUUCCAGAUGGGCCGGAAGGUGUGCGGGGACAGGAUAGUGGGAUCCCUGCUCCACCCGACGAUCUACGCUCAGUUCGUUGCCGGCUUCGAGGAACGUGACGUGGCGACCACCGCCCAGAACCUCCGCAAGCUGGGACUACGCUUCAUGCUCACACCCACGCUCGAAGAAGAUGUCGGCGAGAGCUCCGACAAGCAGGCCAAGUACGACCGCAAUCUAGAGGAGUUGCUGCACCUCGCUGAGAUGGUGCGCAUGCACGGAGGUGAUCAGCCAUGUCUCCAGGCCAAGGUCACGGCCCUUCUUUCAGCCGACACUCUGAAAGUGGUGUCUGCAGCGAAGGAAAACUCGGGAACCCCACCUGUUCGUAUGGUAGAAGCGAUCGCCGAAGUAAUGGCAGGAGCGUCCGCCACAGCACUCGAUCUGCCCGGCAUCAGCAGGAUUCACCAAAACAACCUGUUCCUUGCGGCCAACAGGUUCAGGACCUUGGGUACAUCAGCGUCAUCGAAAGGCCUUCAUCUACUUGUAGACGCAGAGUGGAGUUACGUUAACCCGGCCUGCAGUCUCCUUACUUUGGCUAUGAUGGCAAACUUCAACCGUCAUUCACCUGCAGUGGGAAAUACCUACCAAUGCUAUUUCAAUGAUAUAGACAAGUACAUCCAGGAAGACGUGGAAAUAAGCAGAGGAAUGGGAGCAUGUUUUUCUGCAAAAGUUGUGCGAGGAGCUUAUUUAGAAAAAGAACGUCUUACAGUGCCUGAGCGACUUUGUGCCUCUCACUCCGAAACAGGAAAAAAUUAUGACAGAGCUAUCGAUCUGAUACUGAAUACCGUCGUGUGUAACCAGGACAAGCGUUGCCUACUCGUGAUCGCCACACACAACGAGGACUCGGUGAAACAGGCGGUGAGGCGCUUGCAAGAGUUGAACAUCGACCCUUUGGCAGGGCACGUUGCCUUCGCCCAAAUCUACGGCAUGGCCGAGCAAAUAUCCAUGCCUUUGUGUCGUGCUGGCUACACGGUGUACAAGGCCACCCCUACCGGCCCCUUGGCACAGGUGCUGCCAUAUCUGGCCCGAAGAGUGGCGGAGAACAGGGGAGUUUUACAAGGAGCCCGCAAGGAGAGGGAGCUCCUGCAAAAAGAGAUCAAGUUCCGCCUGACGGCGCGAUGAAGUACACCGCACUGUUUUCUAUAUGCAUCAAUAAAUAUUGUUUAUGUGAAAAUGGUCUCAAUUAACUAUUUUACGACGUGAAUACUCAAUAAGUACCACUAAGACAUCUGCCAUGAACCGUGUGGUUUAGAGGUCGUGCUGGCUACACGGUGUACAAGGCCACCCCUACCGGCCCCUUGGCACAGGUGCUGCCAUAUCUGGCCCGAAGAGUGGCGGAGAACAGGGGAGUUUUACAAGGAGCCCGCAAGGAGAGGGAGCUCCUGCAAAAAGAGAUCAAGUUCCGCCUGACGGCGCGAUGAAGUACACCGCACUGUUUUCUAUAUGCAUCAAUAAAUAUUGUUUAUGUGAAAAUGGUCUCAAUUAACUAUUUUACGACGUGAAUACUCAAUAAGUACCACUAAGACAUCUGCCAUGAACCGUGUGGUUUAGAGGUAAAUAAUAUAUUAUAAGGCAUAAGUUAAUAUCCAGUUAAAAUUACGGGGAAAUGUAAAAUUACUACUGUACCUCGCAACAAUAUGUGCAUAAUAUGUUAAGGUGACAGGACUUGUAAGCAUGAGCCAUGUUGAAGAUUAGAAAUAAACAAUUUCACUUUC